GACGAACGCUGGCGGCGUGCUUAACACAUGCAAGUCGAACGGAAAGGCCCUGCUUUUGUGGGGUGCUCGAGUGGCGAACGGGUGAGUAACACGUGAGUAACCUGCCCUUGACUUUGGGAUAACUUUAGGAAACUGGGGCUAAUACCGGAUAGGAGCUCCUGCUGCAUGGUGGGGGUUGGAAAGUUUCGGCGGUUGGGGAUGGACUCGCGGCUUAUCAGCUUGUUGGUGGGGUAGUGGCUUACCAAGGCUUUGACGGGUAGCCGGCCUGAGAGGGUGACCGGCCACAUUGGGACUGAGAUACGGCCCAGACUCCUACGGGAGGCAGCAGUGGGGAAUAUUGCACAAUGGGCGGAAGCGUGAUGCAGCAACGCCGCGUGCGUGAUGACGGCCUUCGGGGUGUAAACCGCUUUCGCCUGUGACGAAGCGUGAGUGACGGUAAUGGGUAAAGAAGCACCGGCUAACUACGUG
rnacentral:rRNA from 1 species